rnacentral:lncRNA from 1 species
CCAGGGAGUGAUGGAGCCGCGCGGAAUCCGUCGCAGGAAGUGGAGUAGAGUCGUGGCCGUUACUGCGGCCUGCCAGGGAGUGAUGGAGCCGCGCGGAAUUCGUUGCAGGAAGUGGAGCAGAGUCGUGGCCGUUACUGUGGCCUACCAGGCAGUGAUGGAGCCGCGCGGAAUCCAUUGCAGGAAGUGGAGCAGAGUCGUGGCCGUUACUGCGGCCUGCCAGGGGGUCCAGGCUUGUCGGCCGAAGUUCGGUUGGGGUGUCUG